rnacentral:misc_RNA from 1 species
GUGAAUCAUCAAAUUUUUGAACGCAAAUUGCACUCUCUCCGGAGAGUAUGCCUGUUUGAGGGUCAGCCUAAAAAAAAAUCGACAUAGUCGCUGUUUCCGGUUGCCAUUCUUCGAAAAUUGGUUCUUCUUAACCUUUUGGUUUUUAACCGCCUUAAAUUUUUCUUUACAUUUCAACGAACUUUUCAAAAUUUUCUUUUUAAUAG